GACGAACGCUGGCGGCGUGCUUAACACAUGCAAGUCGAACGGAAAGGCCCUGCUUUUUUGGUGUGCUCGAGUGGCGAACGGGUGAGUAACACGUGAGUAACCUGCCCUUGACUUUGGGAUAACUUCAGGAAACUGGGGCUAAUACCGGAUAGGAUCUCCUGCUGCAUGGUGGGGGUUGAAAAGUUUCGGCUGUUGGGGAUGGACUCGCGGCUUAUCAGCUUGUUGGUGGGGUAGUGGCUUACCAAGGCUUUGACGGGUAGCCGGCCUGAGAGGGUGACCGGCCACAUUGGGACUGAGAUACGCACCAGACGCCAACGGGAGGCAGCAGGGGGGAAUAUGGCACAAUGGGCGGAAGCCGGAUGAAGCAACGCCGCGUGCGGGAUGACGGCCUGCGGGUUGUAAACCGCUUUAGCCUGUGACGAAGCGUGAGUGACGGUAAUGGGUAAAGAAGCACCGGCUAACUACGUG
rnacentral:rRNA from 1 species